UAUGUCCAUAGCUUGUGUCUGUCUAAUUGCAGAUGUUGGAGGGACCAGGAAGCCUGAAGAGGAAGUUCCUAGAGGGCACAAUACAUGGCAGACUGUCCUGGAAGCUGGAGGUCAGGGGAGCAUACUUUGCAGAUGAGGCUCCUGUGACACAGGGAAGACAGAAUGAAUGUCGGAACAGAGUCAGAAUGGAGCUCUCAGAUACUGUUCCCGGGCCAUGUGUACCACCAUGCUCCCCACCACGAUGGUAAUGGACUGAACUGUAAGCAAGCCCCCGAUUAAAUACUUUCUUUUGUGAGA